rnacentral:rRNA from 1 species
AGUGAACGCUGGCGGUAGGCCUAACACAUGCAAGUCGAACGGCAGCACAGUAAGAGCUUGCUCUUACGGGUGGCGAGUGGCGGACGGGUGAGGAAUACAUCGGAAUCUACUUUUUCGUGGGGGAUAACGUAGGGAAACUUACGCUAAUACCGCAUACGACCUACGGGUGAAAGCAGGGGAUCUUCGGACCUUGCGCGAUUGAAUGAGCCGAUGUCGGAUUAGCUAGUUGGCGGGGUAAAGGCCCUACCAAGGCGACGAUCCAUAGCUGGUCUGAGAGGAUGAUCAGCCACACUGGGACUGAGACACGGCCCAGACUCCUACGGGAGGCAGCAGUGGGGAAUAUUGGACAAUGGGCGAAAGCCUGAUCCAGCAAUGCCGCGUGAGUGAUGAAGGCCUUAGGGUUGUAAAGCUCUUUUACCCGGGAUGAUAAUGACAGUACCGGGAGAAUAAGCUCCGGCUAACUCCGUG